rnacentral:tRNA from 1 species
GGGGUUGUGGUUCAGUGGCAGAGUUCUUGCUUAGCAUGUAUGAGGCACUGAGUUAAAUCCUCAGCACCACA